GACGAACGCUGGCGGCGUGCUUAACACAUGCAAGUCGAACGGUGAAGGGGCCUGCUUUUGUGGGCCCUGGAUGAGUGGCGAACGGGUGAGUAACACGUGAGUAACCUGCCCCCUUCUUCUGGAUAACCGCAUGAAAGUGUGGCUAAUACGGGAUAUUCUGGGUCUGUCGCAUGAUGGGUCUGGGAAAGAUUGCGCCUUUGGGUGUUUUUGGUGGGGGAUGGGCUCGCGGCCUAUCAGCUUGUUGGUGGGGUGAUGGCCUACCAAGGCGGUGACGGGUAGCCGGCCUGAGAGGGUGGACGGUCACACUGGGACUGAGACACGGCCCAGACUCCUACGGGAGGCAGCAGUGGGGAAUAUUGCACAAUGGGCGCAAGCCUGAUGCAGCGACGCCGCGUGAGGGAUGGAGGCCUUCGGGUUGUAAACCUCUUUCGCCAGUGAAGCAGGCCUGCUCCUUGUGGGUGGGUUGACGGUAGCUGGAUAAGAAGCGCCGGCUAACAACGUG
rnacentral:rRNA from 1 species